AUGGAGUCAAAUUUUUUUAAGGUUGUUAGAAUGAAUCUGAACCAUUUGUCAGGAUCUAAUCAAAAAGUAUUUUCCAUCAGCUCUCGUUUGUCUACUACGUCUAGUAACAUCCUCGUAAAUCCGUUGCAAUCUUGUAAAUAUUCAAACGUUCAUCCUCUUUGCUUAAAAUGUUGGAACCAGUAGAAGGCAUUAGAGCAUCCACAAUGGUGGCACCCAUUGUGGAACCCUUAGUAAUUUAAAAAUUAUUUUUUUUUUUUUGUUAAAUAGCUAAGGAUCUGAACCAAAUAAGUGUUUACAAUGGUGAGUCAUAAUAAGAAGUCCUUAAAAUAAAAAUUUUUUUUUUAAAAAGUGAAUUAUCAAAUGUUUCAAUAAUAUAGCCUGAAUAAAUUUAAAAUCACAAUAAUUAAAAAUAAAGAUACAACAAUUAUUAAUAUUCAUCACCAAAUUUGUUCCAAACAUUUUGAAUUAAGUCAUGUUUUAAUUGGGCGUGCAUAUUCCUAUCACGAAGAUCAUUCCGAUUGGGAAACAUAUUAUUCAGAUUUGUAGGUCUCUCCGUUUCCACCUGUGAAGUUCUAGUGUUGUCUCCUUCUUCAAAUUCAGAUAUAUCGAUACAAGUGUAUCCGUCCCGUUCAUUUUCGACUAUCAUAUUGUGUAGGAUGAUACAUGCUCUCAUAAUCUUUCUUAUCUUUUCCUUAUCCAAAGUUUUUACCGGGU
rnacentral:lncRNA from 1 species